rnacentral:rRNA from 1 species
ACGCUCGACACCUACUGGAGGCAGCAGUGGGGAAUAUUGCACAAUGGGGGAAACCCUGAUGCAGCGACGCCGCGUGAGUGAAGAAGUAUUUCGGUAUGUAAAGCUCUAUCAGCAGGGAAGAAGAUGACGGUACCUGAGUAAGAAGCCCCGGCUAACUACGUGCAGCAGCCGCGGUAAUCUGAGGCGGGCUGGCAAGGC